UACAGAGGUGGCAAGCGUUGUUCGGAAUUACUGGGCGUAAAGGGCGAGUAGGUGGCCAUCUAAGUCAGACGUGAAAUCCCCCGGCUUAACCUGGGAACUGCGUCUGAUACUGGACGGCUAGAGUAUGGGAGAGGGAUGUAGAAUUCCAGGUGUAGCGGUGAAAUGCGUAGAUAUCAGGAGGAACACCGGUGGCGAAGGCGGGUCUCUGGGCCGAUACUGACGCUGAGGAGCGAAAGCGUGGGGAGCGAACAGG
rnacentral:rRNA from 1 species